GUGCCAGCCGCCGCGGUAAUACGUAGGUGGCAAGCGUUGUCCGGAAUUAUUGGGCGUAAAGCGCGCGCAGGUGGUUCCUUAAGUCUGAUGUGAAAGCCCACGGCUCAACCGUGGAGGGUCAUUGGAAACUGGGGAACUUGAGUGCAGAAGAGGAAAGUGGAAUUCCAAGUGUAGCGGUGAAAUGCGUAGAGAUUUGGAGGAACACCAGUGGCGAAGGCGACUUUCUGGUCUGUAACUGACACUGAGGCGCGAAAGCGUGGGGAGCAAACAGGAUUAGAUACCCCCGUAGUCC
rnacentral:rRNA from 1 species